AAGCUCACAGACUGAAAAGCAAAGAAAAAAUAGAAGAAGGAAGAAUAAAAUGUCCACUUUGGAUGUCCUAGCUGGUACAAAAUGUCCUGUCUCCUUGAGCAGCCCUUCAUCCCUCACAAAUAAAGAUGAGCAGCAAAGAGAUGGAAAAGGGAUGGAUAACAUUGGAACAGGUUUCAGUCCCCGCAGUGCCAUCUACUGCUGAGAUAAGUUUGAAUGCUGGAUUUAUUAUUUCUUUGGGGGAAAAUUCUCAGGGACCAGCAUCUGCAGGUGGAACACAAGCUCAGGGGGAAAAAAUAAAUGGCUGCAAAAGCCCAGCAAUCUGGCUAAAGUCUCUCUACCCAUACAUAGCUGACACCAAAAGGAAAAAAAUAAAUCCUAAACUAGGAUCCAUCAUUUGUAAUCUUACAUUACUGAAACCAAAUCUUUCUUUGAUCACUCCUCAUUCACUCAAGACAAUUCAUUAUUCAGCCAGUGGGAAUUGUCUCAGCUCCAGUGAAAGCCAGGGAGUUAUACCAGCUGCUAUCCGCUGAACUUCUGGCUCAGAACUGUUAAGAGAAAGCUAUGCAGAUUUGCUUAUUUGUUUUGGAAACAAGGAUAAAUUACUUCUGCCAACCAAACCUACAGCCUUGCUUAUUUCUGAGUGAUGAGAAGUCACUUCACUAUUCUAAGAAUAAUGAUUAAGCAAUAUGGCAAGUGAGGGACAGCUGAGGUAGGUUCUUGGCAUCUCUAGUUUAAGUUUUCAUGGGUGUUGAAGUUCUGGCAUGACUUUACCAAGCUACUUCUAGCAAGGGAAGAGGUGUCUAAGGUAGUCUUUAAGAUUCCCAAAAAUAAGGAAAGAAUACAAAAAUAGUGGGUUUAUUUUAAAAAAAAUCAGAUACAUUUAAAAAAUAUAUGAAAAAAUUACCUUCCUCAUGUGGUACCUUGGAGGUGCUCAUGUCUUACUCUUCUCUAGUUACACAUCUCCUUCCCAUAAAAAUAGCCUGUGGACCGGGCUACCUCCCCCAGGAAGCCUGUUUUCAAUCCAAAAAGGACAUCUGGCUCUGCUCUGCUCUGCCAAGGAGCUUCAGCUAUGGGGGAAAAGGGUACACAACUCUGCACUGUACCUGAGACUGAGGGUUCCUUCCAGAAGGGCAUUUAUUACAGGGUAAGGAGUGAAAAGCAACAACCAUUGCUUGGCUGAGGGUGUCAGUUGUGCAAACUAUUUCACUGUUAAAAUAAACUUUGAAAAAGCACCA
rnacentral:lncRNA from 1 species